UGUGCGAUCUUAGAGCUAGUUUAACCGCAGCCUAAAAUCUGUAGGUAUGCCACGUUAGCUAAUGAAUAAUGGCACUUCCCCUAUAACUAGACAUCCAUUACUGAAAUACCUAAACCCGAGUGGAAAAAAAAUCGUGCAAUACAUAGAUUCCCACUUUGUUAUUUUUUGAUUCUCUACAGCUGCGUUUUGGCCGUUUCUGUAAUGAAGCCAUCAGAUUUGUGGAAGAUGUUUAUGUCGAGGUACAGGCAAGUGUUCAUAAGAAUUUUAAAUACUAUCUUUUAUCUUUCUUAAAUCGACUAAUCCCAAAUCCCAUCUGAUUAAACCGAAGUGUUACGGGGUUAUUCUUCAACAUUCAUAGCGAAGGAGGGUUUCAGUAUCUGGCAAUGGAAAUUGAUGAUUAUAGUUUCUGUUGAAAUGUCCUUGUACACGCUUCCGAAGCCUCCUUCCUCUUGCUCUUUUAUUUCCCUUCAAUUUAUUUCUUUGUUUGAUUGAUGCAAAGAUCAAUUAAAUUUUUAGGGCAAUGAAAACCUUAGAUGAGGAUGCUUCGAAGUCUGUAUAAAGACAUUUAACAGAAAUCGGGGAAAAGAAGGAUUUGGGUUUCACGAAAGGGUAUGUGAAAGCCUUUCAGUCACCGGCACGGAUCUGUUAGAUAAAGCGCCUGAGCGGAAUGCAGCAGAAUGGUAAAGGGCUGGAGUGUUUGGCAUUGUGUAGAUGGCGGAGACGGACAAAGUGCAGAGCCCAAUGCAAGAGAACUGUAAAGUAGUGCCGUCAAAACAGGGCAAGCAGUUGGCAUUUGGAGCUGAGGCCAUACGGCGUGGAGGUGAGUCUGCAGACAGAUGGCUAUGGAGGCUUUCGUUUUGGGCAUGCAGGUGAGAGCAACUGUUGCUGUGCAGGUGGGAGAUGGUAGUGUAAAAUAAUAUUUAUAAACACAUGAUGCAGUAUUUUAUUAGCAUUGGCAUUUACGACUGCACAUGUAGCUUUGGCGGGGUUUUGUGGCGAGGAACAAGGGCUGUAGACAGAUGGCUCUUAGGGUUUCUGUUUGCAUGCAGGCCAGAGAACACGUUGCUACGCAGGUGGAAGAUGAUAGUGAAAGAAUAUUGAUAAACGUAUAAUGCAACAUUUUUAGCGUUCAGCUGUCCUGGAGCUCGACGUCGCCUUUUUACCUUCAGUGAUUCUUCAGCGAAAUCUUCUCUGUUCUGGUAUUUGCGAAACCUGUUGAGCAAAACGUGUGUAUAGAUUAUUUUUCUCUUUGUAGGCAUCGAUUCGAUUGUUGAAUAUUUUAUAAAGGGUUGUUGUUUGUUUGGCGGGUUGGGGUUUCAAAUUCUUAAUCAUAUUUGUGAUACCCACUGCAUAUAUUCAAGUUUUGGCCAUCUGUGUUGUAUGUUUGUGACGAUAUAGUUGGCAUUUCAAUUUAUUUUUUUAAUCAAUCUGCUAAGUUGUUUUUAAAACCCUUUUCUCGAAUCCAUUCAAACAUGAAAUCCUUUUUUUGGGUUAAAAUGAUGCUCUCUUUCUGCAGCUUCUUUGGGGUCGCUUGCUUGAAUAAUAGCAAUAUUCUCAAUCUUAUCUAGGUUCAAUGCAGAUUCUAGUUGUUGAAUCAUCCUAGUUGAAAACAAUUAUCUGAAAUUGCAGAGUCUGGUUAUUCUAGUUUUUGAACAGUUUCAACCGUAUCUUCUAGUUGUUUUAACUGUCUCUAGUUUCGAAUGAUUAUCUGAAAUUGCAGAUUCUAGUUUAUGGUAAUGCAAAAACAACUAGGCUAAAAUAUGCGGCUCUGAUUUAGAAGUCCGACUCGACCGUUAGUUUGCUCAUUCUUAAGCCCCUGUAGAGUGAUCUCUCUGCAUACAGAGCCCCAUUUGCAUAAAUAACAGGGGGUCAUUAGAAUGACAAGCAUUAAAGGGUUUUUGACAAAUUUUGACUUGACAAUUAUGAAGACAUGUAAUUCUGAGAAGUACUGUCCUAUUGGAUUAGAGACUACCAAGAUGCCCAUAAUUCACAAGGGAUUUGUAACAAAAUCUUCACCA